GAUGAAGAACGCAGCGAAAUGCGAUAAGUAAUGUGAAUUGCAGAAUUCAGUGAAUCAUCGAAUCUUUGAACGCACAUUGCGCCCGCCAGUAUUCUGGCGGGCAUGCCUGUUCGAGCGUCAUUACAACCCUCAGGCCCCCGGGCCUGGCGUUGGGGAUCGGCGGAGCCCCCCGUGGGCACACGCCGUCCCCCAAAUACAGUGGCGGUCCCGCCGCAGCUUCCAUCGCGUAGUAGCUAACACCUCGCGACUGGAGAGCGGCGCGGCCACGCCGUAAAACACCCAACUCUUCUGAAGUUGACCUCGAAUCAGGUAGGAAUACCCGCUGAACUUAAGCAUAUCAAUAAGCGGGGGA
rnacentral:misc_RNA from 1 species